UUAGUCAUGAUUCAUAUUUUUAAUAUAGAAUACAUCGUAACUAUUAAUGUAAUUAAUUUUUUCUCAUGUUCGAUUCAUAAAAUUAAGAGUUAAACUUUUCGAAAGUUUAUUUUGUAAUUUUGGUAACAAGCAUUGUUUCUAUAAGUUUCGUUUAUUAAUAAUUGUAAAGAAUUCGAUUGUAUUAUUUGAAUUUGUUAAAAAUGAUGGAAAAUAAUGUUUAACAUUUGUAAUUCAGAGAUUUUUUUUUUGGUAUUCUAUUCUCUUGAAUUUUGUACGUCGCUUUUUAAUUAACAUCAGGAAUUUUUCAAUCUCUAAAUCAACACGACUUCAAAAAUUGUGGCUAAAUAGCAACAAAGUCCAUGAAUUAUGAAGUAGUCUUUCAAUUUGACGAAAUUCGUUUGGCAAAAUGAAAAUUUCUUCAGCCAUUUGAAUUGAUUGCAUUUGAGACUUUUGAUGACAUCCAAAUAAUCUCAUUUUGUCAAUCUUCCUGCCUUGUGGAUCAAGCUGAAUAUUUCCCUCGUAACUUGGAAAUUAUGCUUUGACCACCGAGAAUUUCUGGGGUAUAAUUAAAUGUUUCUCUCAUUCACUGGAACUAUUACCCCAGUUGACAGAUCUGCAGUGCUGACCAAAUUAAUUCUGAGAUUGUUAGAGUAAAAUUCGGAUGUUAUAUUACAUUUAAAUAAUUCUCUGGACUACAAAAUAUUUAUGAAGUAAAAUUGAGAAAAAUUCCCUUCAACUUGGAAAACAUGUUGCUGACUCAUCUCAAGACUCACUAUUGAUUACCGAAAAUCUCUGAUUACAUCGCAAAAUAUUAUUAACUUGUUAAAUAUAUUUAUCUACUUUACAAUAAAUUUUAAAAUUAAAUUUAA